CUGGGUGUGUUUGGGAAUUAUAGAGUUGCAGAAGCACUUUCUCCACCAAACCAAAGAUUGCCCAAUUGGCCUGUUUUUUGUUAUUAUAUGGUUUGGGGUUUUAUAGAAUGAGCAUGUCUUCUUCCUUCCUGGGAUUUCACAGAUUCUGGAAGAACUUUUAACCAAAUUUUCUGCCUGCCUGCAUGACUAGUGCAGAAUGCAUAAUCUCUGUAACUCGAAAAUCAUCUCUUGGGGGUUUUGCUGCCUACCCAACCCCUUGGUUUGCAAGUUUUUUAGAGGAGUGAUGCAACUGAUUUGUUUAAUGUCUGGGCCAGUUGUGCCCUGGAAUUAAAUAAUCCUGAUAAACAUCCCAAACUGCAAUGCCCUCAUUGACUCUGCUGGGGUUUCCUGGUUGUGCUCCGAUAGGAAACAUCUGCCAUUAUCAUGCUAGAAAUACCAGUUUCUUUGGAAGAGGAAGCUGGGUUCUUGCUGGAUGCAAUUACCCCUGUUUUCCACAAACAACCUCCCACUCCGUGUGCGCAACGCUGCUGCUGAGUCACCCAGCAUGGAGAUGGGGAUGGGGAGGACAAACUCCCCUGAAGAAGCUGAUAAAUACAGAUGAAAAAAUGUUGCCUGGAAGCAAUAAACCAAUAGAAAUUCCAGCCCUGGCAGGUUCAGGGCACACUCAUUUGUGCAGAUGCAGCUUCUCGCUGUGGGGUUCAUGGCAGUACAGGAACAGCCCUGGCUGCAGGUGGGGCUGGGGUCACACGGAUCUGGACACAUGGGGCACGUGGGAUGGGGAUGAGGAGCUACCACGGGGUGUUUCUAAUGGACAGUUAUUCGUGUGUCUGCCUUUGGCCAUGUAUACUUGUGCGAGAAGUCACCGCCCUUGGCCAAGUGCCUGUUAAUCCCUGUGCACCUCAUUCGUAAAGUGCUGGGUGAGCAAGAGGAAAAAUUAAAGCUCCUGUGGACAGGACCACUGUCCUAACUCUCAGCUUUUCUAUGGCCCCAAUCUUUCCAUCCCUUUCCUGUCAUCUCCCCUUACCAUCCUGAAAGAGAAUUAAAAACAAAAAAAAAGAGCACUAACCAGGGAGAGGAGCUGCAGAGACGGUGUGCGACGUGCACCCAGGACCCGAGGGACAAGGACACUGCAGGGGCCGACUUCUGACCUCUGCUGAGUGCUGGAGAUGCCACAGCCUGUCACUGUCUGAUAGCUGCCAGCAUGCCAAAUGCCAAGUCAUUCUUCAGCAAUGAGAUGUUGAGCUGAUUAAGGUUUUAAUUACAACAAGGAAGCAGCACGUGCAAGGAUGGUUUCAGAUGAGAAAGACGUGGCAGCUGCCAAGACAGAGCUGCUCCCGGCUGUAUCCCAUCAACCUUUCUGGUGAAUGGCGCUGAGCCUUCAGUUUGCUCUGCUGCAGGGCUAGGAGAGGAAAAAGGAUUCAUGCAUGGCCCAAGCUGUGGUAAGUGGGGCUUUUUUUCAGGAGUGCUCAGCUACCUGUGAAACCCAAGCCUUGCCAUAGGAAUGGGGCAGAGUUCAGGGCAACUGGUCAGCAUUCCUGGCAUUUACUGCACUCAUAAACAGCCCUGGCAGCGACAGAAAGAGUGCAAACUUUGAACUUAUAAAGCAUCAACACCGAGACCAAGAUGGAGUAGAAAACACACAAAAUGCUCAGAAAUGUGUUUCCCCAGCACGUAGCCACAGCCCUUUGGUAGCUGUUUGCCAGCACCACAGCAUCUGCGCGGCCCCUCGUGACGGAGAUCAAGGGCAGCUCCAUCGAGUGGGAAAGGGGGCAGAGGAGUUUUCUCCCUCCCAGGGGACACAGAGCUCCCAGCCAACUGCAGAAGCUGCCCGUGCUGGUGGACAGGCACAAAUCAAAUGAAAAAUGCUCUGUGGUGAGCACCUGCCCCAGCACACUGUGAUGUCCCCCAGGUGGGAGCUCUGCACCAAGGGGUAGAGCCGAUGUUUGCUCGGAUCCUGAUGCACACAGACUUGCCGGCGCUUUAGAUUUCACAGCCGGGUCCAAUCUCUCCUUUAGACCUUGAUCCUGCAAGAAACACUAUAAGGAUGGAUUUUAGAAAGCAGAUAGAGCUGGCGAGAUCUGGGCCUUAUCUAAGAUAGCAAAAUAAUCAGCCCUAUGAUUUCUUCCCCGUGUUUACAGUGGCAAUAUUUUUCCAAAGUUCAAAGUCUUCCUCUGCAGAAAACAUUUGACAUGCUUUGCCGGGAUACUGUAGUUUUGGUGCAACGAACAAUUAAAAAAAUCAAUUUCUAGAGCAAUAUUUUCUAUGCUAGUAAUCUCUGAACUAAUUACAGGGCUGGAAGAUCAAUAACUAUCUGGAAAUCUUUCCAAUACAGCUAACUAAGCACACUACAUAUCAUCCUGCAGUAUUUCCUUCACAUACACGUGAUAUUCCUGAUUAUCUCCCAGAUCAUACAGGCAGAUGAAAUCGCUGUCAGUAAAUGUCUGUACUUUGUUACGCUGCAGUGCCAACAUUUACCAAAAUCCAAAGGGGAAAUUGGGUAGAGUGAAUAGCACAGUGCAUGAGGUCUGGGGCAACACUCAGUGCCAAGGCUUUAAGCCAAUAACAAAAAGAGCUAAAAGGCUUGGUCAGUUUAACAGGAAUCUUUCUUUGAAAAGAUUACAAAACAAAGUCAUUAAAAGUUCAAGCCUCAGUUAUAUUGUUUUUUUUCAUCAGACUUUAUUUUUUUAAAAAAAUGUAAAACCUUCAGUGACUGAACGUAACCUCUUUCCCUGGUCUCCUAGCAAGGGAGAAGAAGUACAAGUGGGUGGUUCAAUGGUGCAAUCGCCCUUUAAAAACGCGAGCACAGAGGAAGGGUGUUGCUCCGAUGAUACGAUCUACCCUUGCUGUACAAACACACGGUGCUGACCAUGGCAACUCGCUUCCAGCCAAAGCCCAAAGCACUGCACCGAGGCUCUGCCCCACAGCCCCUGCACGAGCGGUGCUGGGAUGCGGUGCGCAAUGCUCCAGCCUCACUUCUACCCUGUGAGGGCCUAGCGAGCUCAGCCUGCUCUUCCUUGGCACGGUGGCAUUCACGCUGUCACUGACCGAGGAGCAAAUAUUCCCAUCAAACACGGUGCCAAAAGCACAGCAGGUGGAGAAGCAAACCCACGGUGCAGGUGAUUUUUCCUAUGCCCAGCUACGUGCACCACAGCGAUGAGUUCUGAGCUGCCGUGCUACCGUGAAAUAUUAGCUAACAUUUCAUAUGCUUUUCUCUGAUUAUUCUGCAUAGCUUUUUCCCUGCAGUGAAAGGACCAGAUGAAAAGUGGGACCAGGGUGAGAUCAAACCCUCGCUGCUACCAUGGGCUGGGGCAUUCCCGCAGCUCCCCACUGCAGCACUCUGCGGCGCCGGAGCCUGUCCCGGAGCAGAAAUCCAGGUCCAGUACCCAGUACAGGACUCCCUGUCUGGCUGGGGAGCUGCAGCCCAGUGACACACAGAAAGGAGAGCCGUGGACUGCUGAGAGCCUGCCUGAGGUGGCAUUUACCCGGAUUUGGUGACAGCACUGCCCUGGCUGUGUCCACAAUGUGCACCCUGUGGUGUUGCUCUACCAACCUCAGCUGCCAAAAAGCAGCUGAAAGAGAAAAAUAGUGUGCGUAUCAUCAUCACAGGCACACAACUCCUCUCCUGCCUGCUCAGCCUGAAGUGACCUUGGCGCUCCCUCAGCCCGGCUGGCUGUUGGGGGCUGUUCAGACUGUGGGAAGGUGCCUACAGCUGCUGCACUGAGCUUCAGCAACUGAUCUCCUUGGAUAAUGAAGUCUUUGGACUUUCCCAUGAUUUUUUCCCAUGUAACGUCACCUUUCAUUCAAAUAAAACUCGAGUGGAGUGCAAGAAAUCACUUUGUUUCUCUCCAUCUUAGGAAGAAAGGGCAGUGCAUCACCUGAUGGAAAGGGCCCAACCAAAAAGAGCUCACGCUCUCCAGAAAUCUUUCAGGAAACAGCUGAAAGAGAAGCUACAGCUCUCCCUCCAGUCUUUUAAUAGUACCACAUCACACUUGGUACAUGCUCAGCAGCAGAGCUCCUGGAUUUAUUUCCUGGCAAUGCAGAGCAAUGGCCACGCAGUGUGGUGCUGGUAGGGGUGCAGUGGCUGCACCAUGGAGAGGCGAGCAGGACAUGCAGGGCAGCGAUCGCUCCCUCCACGAUGUUCCCCUGGCUGCUGGCAAUCCCCAGCUCAGGGACAUCCCGAACAAAAGGUUUGCAUUGAGAUUAUCGGGUUUAACAGCCGCCGAGGCAUAUGUCAUUCAGGAAUUUGUCUAAUCCCUCUUUGAACACGGUUAUACUUUCAGGCUCUGCAAAGCCCUCUGGAAACGAUUGCCAUUGUUUAAUCAGGAGCUGGGCAAGAGUUUGCUUACAGCUUGCUACCUGAUCCUUUCAUUUAAGGGAUCCCUUGCUCUCGUAAUGAUAAAUACACCUGGCAAAGCUGAGCAGGACAGAUACUGAUGCUCUACUUUGCAAAACCAAGGGGAUCUGACAGAGAUAGAGCAACAAAAAGUCUGGUAAAAAUCACAGGGGAGAUUUUCAGAAGUGCAUUUCCCACUGCAAAGCAGCACUUGAAAAAAAACAUCCGUAUUGGCUGUUUGUUUUGUGUUUCCUGUGAAUGAGUUUCUGGCUCAAAUUAGAGUUAUAAUACAACUCUAAAGAGCAUUUUUUAGAAAAAGAAUCCAGUUCUGAACUUCCUUCCUAGAGAUUUGUUGCUUGUUCUGCAACAGGAGAUGUGAAUCAUGGAAGUAUUUAUAACAGCAAUAUUAGGAAAUGAUCAUUAAGGCACCAGAAAUCUGUUAGACAGCGUGUCUUUAAAUAAAUUGUUUAUGACUAUGCUAACCCAAUCUCGUAAGUGCAUGCACACUUAACGAUAUUAAAAAUGUACAUGUUGCCAGAACCGGACUGCCUAUGAUGAAUAUGUCACAGCUCCCCUGCUUUCCUAGUCAGCUGCAUGGAUCUUGGAGAAACGAGGACAGUUUCGUUUGAUCGGUGUUAAUGAGGUUUGUGUCUGCACAGAUUUAGCCCAAAGAGCAUCGCAAUCAUCUCAAGUCCCAGGUGACUUACAGGACUGAACUUGAAGAAACAUCGUUCAGCAGUCUCGGUCGAUGGAGCGAUUCCAGCUCGCAGAGUGCCUCCAGCAAACUGACUUCCCUUCUGUGGCACUGCAUUUGCAUUCAUUAAACCCCAAGUUUUAAUGAUUUAUGUAGACUGAUAAAAGCGAGCAGCCCAGAAGUAUGUGUCUGAACACUCCCACAGCUCCUGACAGAGAUGCAACACGUGGUAAAUCCAUCCCGGUGUGAAAUAUUAAAUGGCCAGCUAGCACACACACACAAUCAGUGCAGGUAUAUCUGCGUGUGUUAACAUGACCUGUAAAAUUGGGAUUUCAGACAAACUAAAGUGAUCACAGCCUCCAAACCCAAGGAAAAGGUAAUCCAUAUAAUAGGAAUGCUAUAACAAUGAUAAUGUUAGUUAAUAAUAACAUUAAUAUGAUCACCAAUCUCCUUGCCAUUGUUUAUUACUGUCAUUGCCAUGGUAGUUCUCAGCUCUGGCAAUGGAUCGAGGCCUAGGUGGCCUCAGCCUUGUGCUCACCAGUGAGUUCCAGCCAAGCACAAUCGUGGUACCCUUUGAUUUGAAAAGAAAAGCCACCAGCAGCAUCAGCUGCUUGCACAGCUCCUGAUCCAGGCUGGCCGAGCUCGACAGAGGCGGCAGCAAAAGGAGAUGGCCCCAGAUGAGAGAUGAGCAGAGAUGAGGGAGAUUUGCACCAGAUGCUGCCAAGGAGGACGACACAGAUCACAGCUGCACAGAGCCCUGGUGGUACAGGGGACGGAGCUGUGUCUCCUGGUCACCCUUCCUCACUGUGGUGCGAGGGCAGGUCUCUUUUUGAGGAGGCAUCUGUGGCUCACAGCAGGACAGGAACUGCAGUCUGGCGAGGACUUUUGCAUCUCUUCUGCAACGCACCUUUACUCAUGCACACUUCAUUGUCUUGCACACACCUCACGCCUUUCUGUAGCUGUGGUGAAUGAAUCUUGGUCCUCUCCUAUCCCCUGAGACUGCUACAGAGGUCCCUGUGCAUGAGCCUGGUCCUUCUGGGAGGAUGCUUGGCUCUGGACAUGAUGGGGACACUAAAACUAACGUGCUCCUGGAACAGACACCUUGAGACAGGGGAAGCAGAGAUGGCAGACUGAUUUCUUCCAGGCCACGUCUGUCCUUCUUUUCCAUAUCUUCUCCCUUUGGCACCUUAUCAAAGCCAUCACUAGUUCAUGCAAAUCCAUAGGACAAGCUCCACAUCCUUACGUCUCCAUCACUUAAGAAGUAAAACAUUUUGAGAUGCUGAAUGAAAAAUUCUCCAGAAAUUAAGACAAAUAAUUCCUCUGCACCUCUGAGGACAAGCUCACCAGAGGCAGGAUGGACCAAAAGCAGCUGGAGACAUGAGCAAAGUGGGGAUACAUCACCCUGAAGCUGGAGCCAGAGACGAGCAGGGUUUGGGUGAUGGGGCUGAGCAGGAAACGCGGGGGGGUUUCCCCAGCUCGGAUGCUUUUGAUGCACCAUUUCACUUUUGCACAUCUGCUGUCCUUUUCUCCCCGUUUAUUUGAAACAUAAACGGUUUAAAACGGGGUCUUAUUCAUCAGUGAUUUACAGCAGCAGCCAAAACAAGGUCCUAAUUUCAGCACAUGGCUUAUCAAACUAUUUGUAUAUAAUAAACCAGUAUCAGUGUA